rnacentral:rRNA from 1 species
GUUGUUGUGGAGAAAUCAAUUGUGUGGAACGGGUUGUUGUGGGGUUGAGACCUUAUCAGCUCUCCUUACUCUUUACCUUUUUCACGCAAUGCACUUUCUCUUUAACAAGUCAACAUCAAUUUCUUUUGUUGUAAAAGGGUCAGCGGAAGGUGGCUUUCUUUUCGGAGAAAGUGUUUAUAGCCGUUGAUCUCUACAAUCGGAGAGAUUGAGGUCUGCAGCGUAGAUCCUUCGGGGUUAGAUACGUUGGUGCUAAGUUAUAAUCCUAUAUAGACAACUUGUUGACUAUAUUCGAUCAUGUAGCUUACUCGCUGACGCUAUUUUACCUAC